AUUGAACGCUGGCGGCAGGCCUAACACAUGCAAGUCGAACGGUAACAGGAAGAAGCUUGCUUCUUUGCUGACGAGUGGCGGACGGGUGAGUAAUGUCUGGGAAACUGCCUGAUGGAGGGGGAUAACUACUGGAAACGGUAGCUAAUACCGCAUAACGUCGCAAGACCAAAGAGGGGGACCUUCGGGCCUCUUGCCAUCGGAUGUGCCCAGAUGGGAUUAGCAAGUAGGUGGGGUAACGGCUCACCUAGGCGACGAUCCCUAGCUGGUCUGAGAGGUUGACCGGCCACACUGGAACUAAGACACGGUCCAGACUCCUGCGGAAGGCAGCAGUGGGGAAUAUUGGACAAUGGGCGCAAGCCUGAUGCAGACAUGCCGCGUGUAUGAAGAAGGCCUUCGGGUUGUAAAGUACUUUCAGCGGGGAGGAAGGGAGUAAAGUUAAUAGCGUUGCUCAUUGACGUUACCCGCAGAAGAAGCACCGGCUAACUCCGUG
rnacentral:rRNA from 1 species